UACGAAGGGGGCUAGCGUUGCUCGGAAUCACUGGGCGUAAAGGGUGCGUAGGCGGGUCUUUAAGUCAGGGGUGAAAUCCUGGAGCUCAACUCCAGAACUGCCUUUGAUACUGAAGAUCUUGAGUUCGGGAGAGGUGAGUGGAACUGCGAGUGUAGAGGUGAAAUUCGUAGAUAUUCGCAAGAACACCAGUGGCGAAGGCGGCUCACUGGCCCGAUACUGACGCUGAUGCGCGAAAGCCAGGGGAGCAAACGGG
rnacentral:rRNA from 1 species